UAAAGGCUCACCAAGACCGUGAUGCAUAGCCGACCUGAGAGGGUAAUCGGCCACACUGGGACUGAGACACGGCCCAGACUCCUACGGGAGGCAGCAGUAGGGAAUCUUCCACAAUGGACGAAAGUCUGAUGGAGCAACGCCGCGUGAGUGAAGAAGGUUUUCGGAUCGUAAAACUCUGUUGUUGGAGAAGAAUGUAUCUGAUAGUAACUGAUCAGGUAGUGACGGUAUCCAACCAGAAAGCCACGGCUAACUACGUGCCAGCAGCCGCGGUAAUACGUAGGUGGCAAGCGUUGUCCGGAUUUAUUGGGCGUAAAGCGAGCGCAGGCGGUUUCUUAAGUCUGAUGUGAAAGCCUUCGGCUCAACCGAAGAAGUGCAUCGGAAACUGGGAAACUUGAGUGCAGAAGAGGACAGUGGAACUCCAUGUGUAGCGGUGAAAUGCGUAGAUAUAUGGAAGAACACCAGUGGCGAAGGCGGCUGUCUGGUCUGUAACUGACGCUGAGGCUCGAAAGCAUGGGUAGCAAACAGGAUUAGAUACCCUGGUAGUCCAUGCCGUAAACGAUGAGUGCUAGGUGUUGGAGGGUUUCCGCCCUUCAGUGCCGCAGCUAACGCAUUAAGCACUCCGCCUGGGGAGUACGACCGCAAGGUUGAAACUCAAAGGAAUUGACGGGGGCCCGCACAAGCGGUGGAGCAUGUGGUUUAAUUCGAAGCAACGCGAAGAACCUUACCAGGUCUUGACAUCCUUUGACCACUCUAGAGAUAGAGCUUUCCCUUCGGGGACAAAGUGACAGGUGGUGCAUGGUUGUCGUCAGCUCGUGUCGUGAGAUGUUGGGUUAAGUCCCGCAACGAGCGCAACCCUUAUUACUAGUUGCCAGCAUUUAGUUGGGCACUCUAGUGAGACUGCCGGUGACAAACCGGAGGAAGGUGGGGACGACGUCAAAUCAUCAUGCCCCUUAUGACCUGGGCUACACACGUGCUACAAUGGAUGGUACAACGAGUUGCGAGACCGCGAGGUUUAGCUAAUCUCUUAAAACCAUUCUCAGUUCGGAUUGUAGGCUGCAACUCGCCUACAUGAAGCCGGAAUCGCUAGUAAUCGCGGAUCAGCAUGCCGCGGUGAAUACGUUCCCGGGCCUUGUACACACCGCCCGUCACACCAUGAGAGUUUGUAACACCCAAAGCCGGUGAGGUAACCCUUCGGGGAGCCAGCCGUCUAAG
rnacentral:rRNA from 1 species